rnacentral:misc_RNA from 1 species
GAACCAGCCCCUUAUUACUGUUUUAAGUUCCCUCAAUUAACCUCCCUUAAACUUAUUGAACUAUCAGAACUGAGGAGUUUCUAUCCAGGGACACAUAUUUCUGAGUGGCAAAAAUUGAAAUGUUUGGAAGUUCGUAAUUGUCGCAAAGUAAGGAAAUUUGGUCUGGAAGAAGUACAUGAAGAGGGCCAACACAGCAUUCCAAUUCAACAGCCCCUUCUAUCGUUGGAAAAGAUGAGUCCCAACUUGGAGGAAUUAACUUUGGA